rnacentral:sRNA from 1 species
ACUUAGCCGUGAUUGAAAAGGAAAUCCUUGUUGUUUUGUCUUUAAAAAACAACAAGAUUGCAGAGUAAAGCGGGAAAUAGC